rnacentral:lncRNA from 1 species
ACGGCCAAGACAAAAAAAACGUAAGAUAGGGAACGCCGCCGCCUGCCAUCGCAACGCCAGCCGAUAGGGCACGCCGCCGUUCGCCACGGGCCGGCCGGCGUCCUGCUCGUCGCCGCCACGGCGUCCCGCUCGUGCCCCGGUGCGCGGCCACCCUGCUUCCCACUUGUCCCCACGUGGGCCGCCUUUUUGCCUCUGCCGGCGCCACCACCGCUCCCUGCCCGUCGCCGCCCGUGGAGCAAGAUGAAGGGUGCUCCGAUGGACGAGCACAAGAAGCCGGCAGAGGAGGAGAACAAGAAUUCUUCCGGCGAGUCAGGAUGCGGUCCGGCGAGAAAGCAGGUUGAAGCUACAGGUCUGAAUUCUAAUCCUCUCUGCACCUGUGCUUAGUGUGAUUUAUUAUUAGCGCGCUCUGUAAUUUAUAAGCAGCAAAUGCCACCAGCACCAGGGAUAUAAAACUGGAUGAGUGGUUUAUAAGCAGUAUUGAAGGAAUGCUACAUACAUGUUGGAAGAGAAAUGUUCGAACUCUGAACCUUUGUCUGUUCUGCAUCUGAAGAAGAGCACAUGAAAUUAAAAUCUUAAUUAGGUGUUUUGCAUCUGAAGGUAUGCUAGUACAGUACUAAGUGGCUACUUGAUAUACAUGGAUCAUUGGAAUCUAGUCUAGUGCUUCUACUCACGAUUUUCUCAACUGAAUUGAUUUCUCCUCAGACAAUUUUAGGAGGAAUAAUUCAGAUAUGACAAUUUCUACUAAUCGACCACAUAAAGAAGGGCAGGUCUUUGAUCCUUCAGACCCGGUACCGGCCAUUAAAAUUGACGACGAAGAUUGCUUGGCAAGAUGACAAUAUUUCAUUUGUUAUUGUGACAUUUACUUUGAGCUCAUGUAUUGUUUCUCUGUCUCACAUGCCUACAGCCAACAUAGCAGCUGUUCUACUUCUACCAAGCAAGCAAAUGCAGUGAAGAAACCACCACCGCCUGUUUUUCACAGCCGAAGGUGAGUACAUGGUUGUUUCUUUCUGGUUUAAGAUGGCCACAUCAGGAUUCCGUUGUUUCACACAAGUGAGUCACCAAUAUGUUUCUCUUACCACUUAACUGCUCCGGCAGCAGAUAUUCUCGGAUGUGAACGCAGAGGCGACAGGAAUAGGAGACGGCGACGAGGCAUUGAUCUGACAAGUAACACAUACCAGGUCAGUGCACUUUUAAUAAGCAGUGCAUUGAUCUGAGUUGUUGAAGAUGGUAUCUGGAUGUGUAUAGCAGGCAGCUACGUACGUAGUAGCCUAGUAAGCAAAGUUGAUCAUGGUGCUCUUGGCAGGCACCUGCAGUUUUCUCUUUUGUUCCACGCUGAUCAUAUCAGCCUGUAAAAUCGAUACAGUACAGAUUAAGCAGUACUGCAUAUUGACUCACAAUGG